AUUGAACGCUGGCGGCAGGCCUAACACAUGCAAGUCGAACGGCAGCACAGAAGAGCUUGCUCUUUGGGUGGCGAGUGGCGGACGGGUGAGUAAUGUCUGGGAAACUGCCCGAUGGAGGGGGAUAACUACUGGAAACGGUAGCUAAUACCGCAUAACGUCGCAAGACCAAAGUGGGGGACCUUCGGGCCUCACACCAUCGGAUGUGCCCAGAUGGGAUUAGCUAGUAGGUGGGGUAAUGGCUCACCUAGGCGACGAUCCCUAGCUGGUCUGAGAGGAUAAGCAGCCACACUGGAACUGAGACACGGUCCAGACUCCUACGGGAGGCAGCAGUGGGGAAUAUUGCACAAUGGGCGCAAGCCUGAUGCAGCCAUGCCGCGUGUAUGAAGAAGGCCUUCGGGUUGUAAAGUACUUUCAGCGGGGAGGAAGGCGGUGAGGUUAAUAACCUUGCCGAUUGACGUUACCCGCAGAAGAAGCACCGGCUAACUCCGUGCCAGCAGCCGCAGUAA
rnacentral:rRNA from 1 species